rnacentral:rRNA from 1 species
AACUAACAAGGAUUCCCCUAGUAACUGCGAGUGAAGCGGGAAGAGCUCAAAUUUGUAAUCUGCCUUUUGGCCGAGUUGUAAUCUGGAGAAGCGUUAUCAGGCGCCGACCGCAUUAAAGUCUCUUGGAACAGGGCGUCACAGAGGGUGAGAAUCCCGUGAGUAAUGCGGCUGCGGCGUUGUAGAGGCGCUCUCGAGAGUCGAGUUGUUUGGGAAUGCAGCUCAAAUGGGUGGUAAACUCCAUCUAAAGCUAAAUAUUGGCGAGAGACCGAUAGCGAACAAGUACCGUGAGGGAAAGAUGAAAAGGACUUUGGAAAGAGAGUUAAAGAGUACGUGAAAUUGCUGAAAGGGAAGCGCUUGAAGUGAGUCGCGCGGGCAGGAUUCAGCUUUGCGUAUUUCCUGCCUGUGGGCCAGCAUCGACGGUGGGCGGCGGACAAGGGCGGUGGGAAUGUGGCACCUUCGGGUGUGUUAUAGCCUGCUGUCGUACACGCUGCCUUACGUCGAGGACUGCUUAUAGGAUGCUGGCGUAAUGGCUUUAAGCGACCC